GGCCUAUUGAGAGAAGAUUUUAGGUCUAACCUGCCCUCUGAAGUAUUUAAAUGGCCGCAGUAUUUUGACUGUGCUAAGGUAGCAUAAUAAUUAGUUUUUUAAUUGAAAGCUAGAAUGAAUGGUAUUAUGAAAAAAUUACUGUCUCUUUUAAAAAAUUAAAAUUUUAUUUUUAAGUUAAAAAGCUUAAAUAUUAUUAAAAGACGAGAAGACCCUAUAGAAUUUUAUUUAAAUUUAUUUUUAAUAAGUUAGUAUAUAAAAUUUAAAAAUAAAUUUAUAUUUAGUUGGGGUGAUUAGAAAAAUAAAGUAUCUUUUUUUUAUAUAAACAUUAAUUUAUGAUUUUAUGAUUCACAUUAGUGAUUUAAGAAUAAAUUACCUUAGGGAUAACAGCGUAAUUUUUUUUUAGAGUUCUAAUCAAAAAAAAAGAUUGCGACCUCGAUGUUGGAUUAAAAUUUAUUUUUGGUGUAGUAGCUAAAAUAUUAAGUCUGUUCGACUUUGAAAAUUUUACA
rnacentral:rRNA from 1 species